UACAGAGGGUGCAAGCGUUAAUCGGAAUUACUGGGCGUAAAGAGCACGUAGGUGGUUGGAUAAGUCAGAUGUGAAAUCCCCGGGCUUAACCUGGGAACUGCAUUUGAGACUGUUCAGCUAGAGUUUAGUAGAGGGAAGUGGAAUUCCACAUGUAGCGGUGAAAUGCGUAGAUAUGUGGAGGAAUACCGAUGGCGAAGGCAGCCCCCUGUGUCGAUACUGACGCUCAUGCACGAAAGCGUGGGGAGCAAACAGG
rnacentral:rRNA from 1 species